UGGGAGGAUCGCUCUGCUGCCAGGCGCUGCCUGGAUUCCCUCUGCACCCUCGAGAGAGAUGAACACUAUCCAGGCCACCGCUGCAGGGUUCCGGUGGAACAAUCUUGUGGUGAGCCGGCCUUGGCCCGGAAGUUCAUUGGCCAGCCCGAGGGUCCCGCGGGCUCCUGACAGCCAGAGGGGAAGGCGAGAGCUCUGUCCCAGGCUGAAGUACUCUGCCACGUCUCAGGGAGCGGCCUCCAGGUGUGAGCUCCUCCCUAGGGAGGCUAGCAGGAAGCCAGACCCCACACCAGGAGCAGUCAGCCUCAGGUGAUGGAGUAGAGCCCUGCCCGGCUGCUGGUGGGCUCUGGGAUCACUGAGAGCAGGGGUCCAGUGGGAGCUGGGCAUGCUGCAGUGCCAGGGAGCUUCUUACACCUGCCUCCUGCAUCCGUCUUCCACCCUGACCUAGUCCCAUCCUAAUACUGACAACACUGCCCCCAACCCUGGGGACCGUGCUGCCCACCCCGCCCCCACAGAGAGGGUUCUGCCUGGCGGGUCUGCCCUUGGAACCCAGCAGGAAGCGCACAGGAGGCAGUCAACGAAUGCUGGGCCAGGCCCCCUAGUGGAAGUGUGUGGCACUACACAAUAAGGGGAGCCGGUGGAAAU